AAAAAUGAAAGCAGCGAUCUGAUUGGUUGCUAUGGGCAACUAGACAACGUUUCCUCUGGACAGGUUUUGAUAAAUCUCCCCCAUUAUGUUCAGUAAUUUAGAAAUUCUAGGACAAUGAAAGACUCUAAAGACGAGCUGAUAUGUGAAGGUUUUACCUAUGGACAGAACAGGCUGCUGCCUAUGGGCUACCCCUGGAUGAGGGCAUCUGCUGAAGGAAGAAUUUACAUUAAACACUUACGCACCUUCUGCAGCCUCUGCGGGGAGACCCAGAGAAAGUGAAGAAGAGCCAUCGGAGAGGUCACUGAAAUGCGUCGACUUCACAAGAAAUAAACCUGAAGCUCCAUUUACUAAGUUUAGAAAAACCUGAUUCAAAGCUGCUUAAUUAUCUGUAAUAUUGUCGCAGUCCUGACCCCAAUGAG